AGACUGCGCCUGGGGAGGGGCCGAUGUUGGGCGAAUCGUCGGCCAGCGCAGUGGCGCGCUCAGGCUUGCAGGGAGAAGAUGAAAAGGCUACAGCGGCAACACAACUCGGCAAGGGAGGCCAGGACACGGCCGGGGGUGCCGCGCUGCGCACUGAGGAGGAGCGCGGGGAUGGGGCUGCAGGGGCAUGCUCGCCCAGCCAAGGCAGCCACGAGGAUGCAGCGCGGCACGACGAGGAGCAGCGUGGCACGGCUCCCUGCAUGUUGAUGCGCAGCGCGGGCGGCCGGAGCUGGGCGAGAACGGGCGAGGCGCGGUUGUGGGUGGUUCUGGCGGAGCUGGACGCGAGGGACGAGGCAACGGGAGUGCCAAUUCCUGUUUUGGGGCGACGUGGGCAAGGGAACUCGGACGGUUGGAGUCUGGAGAAGAAGACUUGCCCUGGGCGUGGCUCUGGCGCGCGGGCGCUCCCGGCGGCUGGACGCGGCUGCGGCUGCUGUAGGAGGCGUGCUGAGGCGCUAGGGUUUGGGGAAAUGAG
rnacentral:misc_RNA from 1 species